rnacentral:rRNA from 1 species
GACAGAGGGUGCAAACGUUGUUCGGAAUUACUGGGCGUAAAGCGCGUGUAGGCGGCCAACUAAGUCGGGCGUGAAAUCCCACGGCUCAACCGUGGAAGUGCACUCGAAACUGGAUGGCUAGAGUCCUGGAGAGGAAGGUGGAAUGCUUGGUGUAGAGGUGAAAUUCGUAGAUAUCAAGCGGAACACCGGUGGCGAAGGCGGCCUUCUGGACAGUGACUGACGCUGAGA